rnacentral:rRNA from 1 species
CCUACGGGUGGCAGCAGUGAGGAAUAUUGGUCAAUGGCCGAGAGGCUGAACCAGCCAAGUCGCGUGAGGGAAGACGGCCCUACGGGUUGUAAACCUCUUUUGUCGGGGAGCAAAGCGAGUCACGUGUGACUCAUUGAGAGUACCCGAAGAAAAAGCAUCGGCUAACUCCGUGCCAGCAGCCGCGGUAAUACGGAGGAUGCGGGCGUUAUCCGGAUUUAUUGGGUUUAACGGGUGCGCAGGCGGAGGGGCAAGUCAGCGGUAAAAUUGCGGGGCUCAACCCCGGACUGCCGUUGAACCUGCAUCUCUUGAGUGCGGGAGAGGUAGGCGGAAUGCGUGGUGUAGCGGUGAAAUGCAUAGAUAUCACGCAGAACUCCGAUGGCGAAGGCAGCAUACCGGCGCGCAACUGACGCUCAUGCACGAAAGCGUGGGUAUCGAACAGGAUUAGAUACCCCAGUAGUC